UAAUUUUGCUUCACAGAUUUUUCCCUUGUGAGUUUUAACUUUCAGGGUAGAAUUCUCUCUUAUGGUUUCACCUUUUUCCUAUUUUGUGUAUCUGUGAGGAGUUGCGCAAAUAAGGCUCCUCUCAGCAUUGCAAAUGGAAUCAGGUCAUGCUCCCAAGUGCCCUUCACCUCAAGACUCCUGAUUGUUUCUUCCUUAUUUGUUGUGAGCAGGCCCAAAUUGCCUCACCUCUAGCUGCCCUUUCCACUUUAUGAAACAAGCGACUAAUAGCAACGCAACUCUAAAAAUUCCCGGAUGACCUACAUGUUGCUCUUUUUAUUAUCCCUUAAGAAGUGUCUCCGUAAUUGAAAUCUAGAGUAGCAGAGUUUUGUGAUCUUGUCAUCUAGCAUUUUACUUAUGUUUGCCUUAUUUAUACGGUGCCUUUAAACCCCAGGGUGGUCAAAGUCUGCCCGCGGGACCUGCAGGACUGAAACCAAGAAUGUCGUCAUUAAUUCAAAGAUACCUGAAGGCAGAGGAGAGAACCUUUUGGCCUUGGGUCCAUAACUCAGUUUUGCAGUAGGGAAGACCAGAACAGGCUCGUGAAGAGAUUUACCAUGAAGGGGCCAGUGUACCGUUUCCUGGGCAAGCUUCGUUGUGUCUUGCUCUGUUCUGAGCAUCAUUAGAGCCCUCGUUUGAGACAAAUGGGCUCCAUCAGUUCUCCACCAUUCAGGCCCGUAGGAGGAAGAUGGCACGUGAGUGAAGCUUCGACAUGGCAGUCACCUUCCCUUUAUUUCUGCUCUCCCUUCUUUUUGGGUAAUGAAUCGGGGUGUCGUUAGUUGCCUGCCUUGUGUUCAUCACUGUCAGUACUGGCAGGGUAACAGAUAAUGGCAGAGAUUCAAGGCCACCCAGGGAAUGAAGCCUGACAGGACCUCAUUUAUCACUCCCCUUUUAGGGGGUCUCUGUGGUAGAACUAGCUUCAAAGCUGUAAUCGAAGCUCACCAGGUCGCACAGGGGCCAGGCAGGAUUGCUCCGCCAAAAAGCAAC